CUCAGAUUGAACGCUGGCGGCAGGCCUAACACAUGCAAGUCGAGCGGUAACAGAAAGUAGCUUGCUACUUUGCUGACGAGCGGCGGACGGGUGAGUAAUGCUUGGGAACAUGCCUUGAGGUGGGGGACAACAGUUGGAAACGACUGCUAAUACCGCAUAAUGUCUACGGACCAAAGGGGGCUUCGGCUCUCGCCUUUAGAUUGGCCCAAGUGGGAUUAGCUAGUUGGUGAGGUAAUGGCUCACCAAGGCGACGAUCCCUAGCUGGUUUGAGAGGAUGAUCAGCCACACUGGGACUGAGACACGGCCCAGACUCCUACGGGAGGCAGCAGUGGGGAAUAUUGCACAAUGGGCGCAAGCCUGAUGCAGCCAUGCCGCGUGUGUGAAGAAGGCCUUCGGGUUGUAAAGCACUUUCAGUCAGGAGGAAAGGUUAGUAGUUAAUACCUGUUAUGUGUGACGUUACUGACAGAAGAAGCACCGGCUAACUCCGUGCCAGCAGCCGCGGUAAUACGGAGGGUGCGAGCGUUAAUCGGAAUUACUGGGCGUAAAGCGUACGCAGGCGGUUUGUUAAGCGAGAUGUGAAAGCCCCGGGCUCAACCUGGGAACUGCAUUUCGAACUGGCAAACUAGAGUGUGAUAGAGGGUGGUAGAAUUUCAGGUGUAGCGGUGAAAUGCGUAGAGAUCUGAAGGAAUACCGAUGGCGAAGGCAGCCACCUGGGUCAACACUGACGCUCAUGUACGAAAGCGUGGGGAGCAAACGGGAUUAGAUACCCCGGUAGUCCACGCCGUAAACGAUGUCUACUAGAAGCUCGGAGCCUCGGUUCUGUUUUUCAAAGCUAACGCAUUAAGUAGACCG
rnacentral:rRNA from 1 species